rnacentral:rRNA from 1 species
AUUGAACGCUGGCGGCAGGCCUAACACAUGCAAGUCGAGCGGAUGAAAGGAGCUUGCUCCUGGAUUCAGCGGCGGACGGGUGAGUAAUGCCUAGGAAUCUGCCUGGUAGUGGGGGACAACGUUUCGAAAGGAACGCUAAUACCGCAUACGUCCUACGGGAGAAAGCAGGGGACCUUCGGGCCUUGCGCUAUCAGAUGAGCCUAGGCCGGAUUAGCUAGUUGGUGAGGUAAUGGCUCACCAAGGCGACGAUCCGUAACUGGUCUGAGAGGAUGAUCAGUCACACUGGAACUGAGACACGGUCCAGACUCCUACGGGAGGCAGCAGUGGGGAAUAUUGGACAAUGGGCGAAAGCCUGAUCCAGCCAUGCCGCGUGUGUGAAGAAGGUCUUCGGAUUGUAAAGCACUUUAAGUUGGGAGGAAGGGUUGUAGAUUAAUACUCUGCAAUUUUGACGUUACCGACAGAAUAAACACCGGCUAACUCUGUGCCAGCCGCCGCCGUAAAAC